rnacentral:guide_RNA from 1 species
AACUAUACAAUUAGAGCAUCAGUAGAAGGUUGUGACUUAAU